rnacentral:tRNA from 1 species
GCAGUGAUGGCUCAGUGGUAGAAUUCUCACCUUCCGUGUGGGAGACCUGGGUUUGAUUCCCAGCCAGUGCG